ensembl:lncRNA
CACACUCUCAAGUGGCCAAGACCGCAAGUGUGGGUAUUUGGACAGGGUCAAAGUCUUAAAAAUGCCCCAUUAGUAAGAACCCUAAACACAGUCUCACAUCAAAGUCUUAAUAAGUAGGUAAUUCAAUUUAACACUUGUAUGAUAUUGUAUAAGCCCCUGGACAGUCUCAUCUGACACUAUCACAAUAUUGCUAAAUCAGUUGCGCUCUUCUUGGAAAGCAGUCAGAUGCCCCACACAGUCAGAAAGUUUUUUAUUGUCCAUUGGCUUCUUAAUAAAUUACUUCAAAUAGGCCACAUCAGUUCAUGUUCCAACUAUACAUGAUAUCUCUCUGCACCUCGUAAUUUAUCUGUUUUCCACUAUUUGCCUCUGUAACUUUUUCUUAAUUCUUGCAUAAUGAAAUUUUUAUUGCAGUAUUUUAAUAAUUUUACUUUGUACAGAUGAUCUCAUCAGCCAAGUGAGGGGUUUUGACAAAGUGAUGCUCUUGAAAGGAAUGAAAGAAGAGGAUGUGGUAAAUUGUCUUCAAAGAAAAAGCUUCUCAAAAGGUCUUAAAACAGCUUGAAGAAUGGUCUGGGAACUGUCUGAAAAUGGGAUGUUAGGACUGAGAGAUCCUCUUUCUGAGAAAAAGCUACACCACAUCGGUGCUGGAUGUCAACCACAAACUGUUCACAGACACGAGAGAAGAAGAUCACGAUGGGGAAGAGCAAGAAACCAGUUUAGAUGUGAUGAUAAGGAAUCAUUAUUUUCUGAAACAGUAUCAAAUGUCUUAUAUGUAUCACAUGAUCUGUAUGAAAGUGAAGUGAAAGUGAAAGUCGUGACAUUUGUCAAGUAUGGUAACCCAUACUCGAAAUUGUUGCUCUGCAUUUAACCCAUCCAAGUGCACACACACGGAAGUGAGAAGUGAACACACCGUGAACACACACCCGGAGCAGUGGGCAGCACUCUGCCAGCACGGAGACUCGAACCUGCCACCUUUACAAGUCCAAUUCUCUAACCAUUAGGCCACAGCUGCCCCCAAUCACAGUGGACUGGAUGGUAUUGUGUGAUUUUUAAGGACAUUUCAUCACUCAUUUGUGUGAACUGAUUAAUAUAUGAUGUUAAUGAAUUUUUGAUGAUCCAUUAUUAUUUUCCUUGAAUCUUAUUUGCCUUGAUGCUACUUUAUCAACUUUAUAGUCUAUG